AACGAACGCUGGCGGCAUGCCUAACACAUGCAAGUCGAACGAGACCUUCGGGUCUAGUGGCGCACGGGUGCGUAACGCGUGGGAACCUGCCCUUAGGUUCGGAAUAACUCCCCGAAAGGGGUGCUAAUACCGGAUAAUGUCUUCGGACCAAAGAUUUAUCGCCUUUGGAUGGGCCCGCGUUGGAUUAGCUAGUUGGUAGGGUAAAAGCCUACCAAGGCGACGAUCCAUAGCUGGUCUGAGAGGAUGAUCAGCCACACCGGGACUGAGACACGGCCAAGACUCCUACGGGAGGCAGCAGUGGGGAAUAUUAGACAAUGGGCGAAAGCCUGAUCCAGCCAUGCCGCGUGAGUGAUGAAGGCCUUAGGGUUGUAAAGCUCUUUUACCCGGGAUGAUAAUGACAGUACCGGGAGAAUAAGCUCCGGCUAACUCCGUG
rnacentral:rRNA from 1 species